AUACGGUGAAUACGUUCCCGGACUUGUACACACCGCCCGUCAAGCCAUGGAAGCCGGGUGUACCUAAAGUCGGUAACCGUAAGGAGCCGCCUAGGGUAAAACUGGUGACGUGGGGCU
rnacentral:rRNA from 1 species